ACAUGCCUACAACAUAGCGUUAAUGCGUCAUGUCUCAUUAGAAAUUUGCAGUUAAGCGCGCUCAAGCUAGAGUAGUACUAGGAUGGGUGAUCACCUGAGAAGUACUAGUGUUUUACAUGCC
rnacentral:rRNA from 1 species